rnacentral:rRNA from 1 species
UACGUAGGGUGCGAGCGUUGUCCGGAUUUAUUGGGCGUAAAGAGCUCGUAGGCGGCUUGUCGCGUCUGCUGUGAAAAUCCGGGGCUCAACCCCGGACUUGCAGUGGGUACGGGCAGACUAGAGUGUGGUAGGGGAGACUGGAAUUCCUGGUGUAGCGGUGAAAUGCGCAGAUAUCAGGAGGAACACCGAUGGCGAAGGCAGGUCUCUGGGCCACUACUGACGCUGAGAAGCGAAAGCAUGGGGAGCGAACAGG